rnacentral:rRNA from 1 species
GAUGAACGCUGGCGGCGUGCCUAAUACAUGCAAGUCGAGCGAACAGACGAGGAGCUUGCUCCUCUGACGUUAGCGGCGGACGGGUGAGUAACACGUGGAUAACCUACCUAUAAGACUGGGAUAACUUCGGGAAACCGGAGCUAAUACCGGAUAAUAUAUUGAGCCGCAUGGUUCAAUAGUGAAAGACGGUUUUGCUGUCACUUAUAGAUGGAUCCGCGCCGCAUUAGCUAGUUGGUAAGGUAACGGCUUACCAAGGCAACGAUGCGUAGCCGACCUGAGAGGGGGAUCGGCCACACUGGAACUGAGACACGGUCCAGACUCCUACGGGAGGCAGCAGUAGGGAAUCUUCCGCAAUGGGCGAAAGCUUGACGGAGCAACGCCGCGUGAGUGAUGAAGGUCUUCGGAUCGUAAAACUCUGUUAUUAGGGAAGAACAAAUGUGUAAGUAACUAUGCACGUCUUGACGGUACCUAAUCAGAAAGCCACGGCUAACUACGUG